rnacentral:tRNA from 1 species
GCGCCCGUAGCUCAGUUGGAUAGAGUACUUGGCUACGAACUAAGGGGUCGGGAGUUCGAAUCUCUCCGGGCGCGCCA